UAUUGGUCCUCCCGCAUUGAUACUAUGUCGACCUGGUCAGGUCCGGAAGGAAGCAGCCAAGGCAUAGGACUCGAGUGCCGGGAUGUGGCUGGUAGGG
rfam:Plesiomonas shigelloides 302-73 genomic scaffold scaffold00012, whole genome shotgun sequence.